rnacentral:piRNA from 1 species
UGACUGAGACAGCGUGCACACAGAAU